CGCUCCUCUUUUUGUCUUUUCGCUUUUUUCUCUUCGUUUGGGGUUGGUGUUUUUCUUGGUUGUGUUUUGUUCUGCUCGUUGGUCUGUUUUUUUUUUUUUUACCCCUUGUCCCUCUCUUUCUGAUCCUUUUUUCUUGCUUUUCUUUCUUCUCUGUUUUCUUUGUACCAUGUUGUUCCUAUCUGGGUACGUUAAGUCGUUACAAGGUUUCCGUAGGUGAACCUGCGGAAGGAUCAUUAC
rnacentral:rRNA from 1 species